GACGAACGCUGGCGGCGUGCUUAACACAUGCAAGUCGAGCGGAAAGGCCACUUCGGUGGUACUCGAGCGGCGAACGGGUGAGUAACACGUGAGUAAUCUGCCCCUGGCUUUGGGAUAGCCACCGGAAACGGUGAUUAAUACCGGAUACGACCACUUCUCGCAUGGGAUGGUGGUGGAAAGUUUUUCGGCCAGGGAUGUGCUCGCGGCCUAUCAGCUUGAUGGUGAGGUAAUGGCUCACCAUGGCUUCGACGGGUAGCCGGCCUGAGAGGGUGACCGGUCACACGGGGACUGAGACACGGCCCAGACUCCUACGGGAGGCAGCAGUGGGGAAUAUUGGACAAUGGGCGGAAGCCUGAUCCAGCAACGCCGCGUGAGGGAUGACGGCCUUCGGGUUGUAAACCUCUUUCGGUGGGGACGAAGCGCAAGUGACGGUACCCACUAAAGAAGCACCGGCCAACUACGUGCCAGCAGCCGCAGUAA
rnacentral:rRNA from 1 species